GGCUAAUCAGAUAUGCUGUAUUAUACUAAUGAUGGUAGGAUAGGCGUAGUACUUACCCCUUACUUGUGGGAAUUUUGGAUUGUAUGACAAAUAGAAUAGCAACCUCGGAUGGCAUAGGUAAGACUUUGGUAGCAGUGUUUAACAAGAAUGUAACAAAAUAGUAGUUGUACAUGUGUAUAACAAGGAUGUAAAGUGUUAGUAGUGGUAUAAAAUAUGAUGGUCUAAUAUAAGGUAUAAUAGUACUAUGUAAAUGGACAUGCAUAGAGUGUGUAGACCCUUUGGGAUUUUGGACAAGAUUAGAUGAAAGAAAAUUGAGUGUUAAGUUUGAGAAAGACCUUGCAGAAAAUGCAGGUAUUUUAAGGACCUAAGGGCAAUAGAAAAGUAGUUGUGAAAAGCGGUUGGUCUAACCAUAGGGGUAGUGUUAUUUUCUUUGAGGAUUUUAGAAGCUUCAAUUAUGAUUUGAGUAAGACAAGUCUAGUUACUUUGUUGUAUGGGUUCAAGCAUGUGAUCCUUAAAUGUUGUUCUUAUAAGCUUUGUGGUUGUUUCAGAUGAUGAACACUCAUUGAUCCCAAACCCUCAGACGAAGGGGUGGCAAUUAGGAGAAGGAGACACAACGUCCCCAGGAAGAGAGAGUAGAGUUGUCUCAAGAAAAUUCUUCUCAAGGUGGAAGUCAGGGAAGUGGGGAUUGUAUAGAUCGGGUGGAGUGAGUUCUAGAACACAUGGUCACAUAUAUGCAAGGGACUCAGCCAAUGGGUCAAAGUAUUCCUCAGGUGCCGGAUGCCAUCGACCGGUUCCAAUGAUUAAGUCCCCUUGUGUUUCGCGGAAAGGAAAGCGCUGAUCCGAGCGAAAGUGAGUAUUGGAUAGAACAACUCGAGAAGAUUUUUUAUUUCAUUGGAUGUGGGGAAUGGGAGAAAGUAGUUUGUGCCACUUUCAUACUUCGGGAUGAGGCGCACCAUUUGUGGCGAACGAUGCAAAGGACUUUGCUUGGCCCUACGAGACAAGGUAUGCCAGUUGUCACAUGGACUCAAUUUAAAGAAUUAUUUUACACUAAGUAUUUUCCUUUAUGCAAAAAGUCGAAAAAGAGCCGAGAAUUUAUGAAUUUGAAACAAACUAAGGAUAUGUCAGUCGCCCAGUAUGAAGAUAGUUUUUCUUAGUUAAUUAAAUACAUGCCUGUUUAUAAUUUGGAUAAAGAGGCAAAAUCUCAGAAAUUUCUUGGCGGGUUAAGACUUGAGAUACAACUGGCAUUAUGUUCCUUAGGGGCCCGUGCUUAUGCAGAGGUUGUUAUGCAAGCUUUAACGGUUGAAAGUAACCUUGUUCGAAUGAAUGCUUUAAAGGUAGAAGUGCAGGAACCCAAGGACAAGAAUGCCGGAAGGAAGCAUCACUUAGGAGUCCGAGGAGGAAACUUUAAGCCUAAGAGUAGGUGUCCCAAGUGUCAAAAGUUCCAUCCUGGAAGGGUGUGCCAAAGUCGGACUCAAGGAUGCUAUUCUUGUGAAAGGAGUGACCACUUGGCCCGAGAUUGUCCCAAAGGACCUAAGUGUUUCAACUGUCAGAAGAUCGGUCAUCUUUCAAAGGACUGUCCACAGAGGAGGCAAGUCGAUCAAGCGGGAGUAAGCAGAGGAGGCCAAGAACCGCAAUAAGGCCGGGUGUAUCAUCUGACGAGGGAGAAUGCCAACGCAAGCUCGUCAAUCAUACAAGGUACAUUGAUCUUUCUCAAUACACCUGUGUGAGUGUUAAUUGAUCCUGGAUCAACACAUUCAUUCAUUUCACAUGCGUUGAUACAAAGUUUGAAUUUGGAAUUGGAGGAUUUGGUAUGUCUUAUGCUUGUGGCUACUCCUUUAGGGAAACAAGUGGAAACUAGCACGGGAUAUAGGGAAGGAAGGGUUGAGUUGGGUGAUAGUGAAUUUUCACUUGAACUCACGUCAUUAGAAAUCCAAGAUUUUGAUAUAAUUCUUGAAAUGGAUUUUCUGUCCAAAUAUAAGGCCCGAAUUGAUUGUCAGACAAAAACAGUAGAAAUUCAAAAUAACCAAGGAAUUUGGGAAAAAUUUCGGGGACAAGAGAGUGAUAAAAAGAUUAAGUGGAUCACGGCCCUCAAAGCUAUCAAAAUGCUUGAGAAUGGAGCCUAUGGGUACUUGGCGGGGGUGCAAAUAGAAAAUAAGAAAGUGAAACUUGAGGAGACACCAGUAGUUAAUGAAGUUUCUGAUGGGUUUCCCGAAGACUUACCUGGGUUACCCCCUCAUCGGGAAAUUGAAUUUUCUAUAGAAGUUGUACUAGGAAUAAAUCCCAUAUCCAUAUCCCCGUAUAGAAUGGCCCCAAUAGAACUAAAAGAGCUCAGAAGUCAGUUGUAGGACCUUUUAGACAAAGGAUUUAUUCAACCCAGUACCUCACCUUGAGGAGCACCUGUGUUGUUUGUUAAAAAGAAAGACGAAACUCUGAGGAUGUGUAUUGAUUAUAGGCAGCUAAAUAAAGUGACUAUCAAAAAUGAGUAUCCUCUCCCUAGGAUUGAUGAACUGUUUGAUCAGUUGCAGGGUGCCAAAAUAUUUUCCAAAAUUGAUUUGAGGUCUGGUUAUUAUCAGUUAAGGAUCAAGAAUGAGGAUAUUCGAAAGAUUGCCUUUAGAUCCCGAUAUGGACACUAUGAGUACCUAGUGAAGCCUUUUGCCUUUAUGGAUUUAAUGAACCGGGUGUUCAAACCAUAUUUGGAUAAAUUACUAAUUGUGUUUAUUGAUGACAUCCUAAUUUCUUCUACUAGUAGAGAGGAGCACGAGCAACAUUUGUGGAUUGUCUUGGUAACAUUGCGAAAGCACCAAUUAUAUGCUAAGUUUUCAAAAUGUGAGUUCUGGUUAAAUCAAGUUGUUUUCUUGGUCAUGUCAUAUCUGAAAAAGGAAUAGCGCUAGAUCCCUCAAAGGUCGAAGCAAUAAGGAACUGGUCACAACCCAAAACAGUAAACGAGGUACGAAUUUUCUUGGGUUUAGCUGGCUACUAUAGAAAAUUUGUUGAAGGAUUUUCUCGCCUUGCUCUACCUUUGACUCAAUUAACACGAAAGGGAAUUAAAUUUGAAUGGAACGAGAUGUGUGAACAUAGCUUUAAGAAACUUAAGGAGAGGCUAACCUCUACUCCGGUCUUAGCAAUACCUGAUGAUACAGGAGGAUUUACAGUUUAUACUAAUGCCUCGAAGACUGGGCUGGGGUGUGUUCUUAUGCAGAAUGGAAGAGUGAUAGCCUAUGGGUCUCGGCAGUUGAAAAAGCACGAACAGCAUUACCCUACCCAUGAUUUGGAGCUUGCGGCAAUUGUGUUUGCCUUAAAACUCUGGUGGCAUUAUUUGUAUGGAGAAAAAAUUGAGGUCUUCACGGAUCAUAAAAGCUUGAAGUAUCUAUUUUCCCAGAAAGACCUGAACAUGAGGCAACAACAAUGGAUGGAGUUUCUGAAGGAUUAUGAUUGUUCGCUUCAGUACCAUCCCGGGAAGGCAAAUGUUGUGGCCGAUGCAUUGAGCAGAAAAGAGCCUUCCUUGAUGGCUAGUUUGAUGACUCGGGAGUGGGAAUUGAUGGAGGCUUUUGGCCAGUUGGCAGUAAAUGUAAUUCCUAAAGAAACUUCUAUUUAUGUCGCUGGCCUAGUGGUUCAUUCUCAACUGUUAGAAUAGAUUCGGCAAGCCACUAAGGAAGACCUGAGAUUGAAACUGUGGGUUGGCGACCAAGGGCAGGUCAAGAAUCCAAGUUUUAAUUUCUCAGAUGGCAUACUAUGGUUCGCCAACAGAGUUAUGUACCUAGAGUAAGGGAAUUGAGGCAAACUAUACUGGACGAAGCUCAUAGAGCCAAGUAUAUGAUUAAUCCUGGCGCUAUGAAGAUGUACAGGGAAUUGAAAGGUGUAUAUUGGUGGCCGGGAAUGAAAAAAGAUGUGGCGCGACAAGUGGCUCAGUGUGAUACCUGUCAAAGAAUUAAAAUUGAGCACCAAAGACCAGUUGGAAAGUUGCAACCUCUGAAAAUUCCUGAGUGGAAGUGGGAACAUAUCACUAUGGACUUCGUAAUAGGAUUGCCUAAAGGACUCUCAGGGAAUGACGCAAUUUGGGUGAUUGUGGACAGACUGACAAAGUUUACUCACUUCUUAUCAAUGAAGACAGGACAACUUGUUAGCAAACUAGCUCAACUGUACAUAAAGGAAAUCGUCAGACUACAUGGGGUACCAGUCAGCAGUGUCUCUGAUAGAGAUCCAAGAUUUACCUCUCGGUUUUGGAGAAACUCGCAAGAGUGACUGGGAACACGCUUGCAGAUGAGUAUUGCAUACCAUCCACAAACAGAUGGCCAGUCGGAACAAACCAUUCAAACCUUGGAAGACAUGCUAAGAGUGUGUGUAAUUGACUUCUCAAAGGGAUGGGAAGAACAUUUGCCUUUAAUUGAGUUUGCAUAUAAUAAUAGUUUCCAUAGUAGUGUCGGAAUGGCCCCCUACGAAGCUCUCUACGGUCGAAAAUGUAGAACUCCUCUAUGUUGGACGAAAGUAGGAGAAGGGAGAAUAACAGGACCUGAAAGUGUACAGCAAACAAAUGAGAAAAUCAAGAUAAUCCGAGAACGGAUUAAAAUGACUCAGAGUAGACAAAAGUCUUAUGCGGAUCACCGGAGAAGGGACUUGGAGUUUCAACCAGGCGAUAAAGUAUAUUUAAAGGUCAUACCCUCUCAAGUAAUAUCCCAAGGAAAGAAGAAAGGGAAGUUGAGCCCUAGAUACAUUGGACCAUAUGAGAUCUUGGAGCGAGUUGGGGUAGUUGCUUACCGUUUGGCAUUACCUCCGAUAAUGUCCAACAAAUAUAAUGUCUUCCAUAUCUCACGACUUCGGAAGCACGAGCCUGACCCUACCCAGAAGAUACGAGAAGAUUUAACCUAUCCUGAAGAACCAGUCGAAAUUUUAGAUACAAAGGAACAAGUGUUAAGAAACAAGACGAUACCGCUAGUGAAAGUCUUGUGGAGACAUUACAACAUUGAGGAAGCUACUUGGGAAAGGGAAGAAGAAAUUCGACAAAAUUAUCCAAACCUCAUUGACUUUAUGAAGACUUAAGGAAAUUUUGGAAACGAAAUUUAUUUUAAGGGGGAGGAUGUAAUACCCCAAAAUUUAAUGUAAAUGUUGGAUGUUGCAAUAAAGUGUUUUAAAUGGAAGUUUUGAAUUAAAGUGUAAACAAAAAUGGUUUUAGGACCCAAAUGCAAAUAUCAUAAUUUUUAAAAGAGAUAGCUUGUCUCCAACGAAUAGGAAUAUUUGCAAUGAUGAAUUCUUAUCUAAGAAGACUUGAGUUGGAAAGUUGGGAUUGGAGAAUUUUCCCUAAAGUUCUAAGGCCUUAUGAUGGUAAUAAUUGGAUUCACCCUAAAAGUCAAAAGUAAUAUAACUUGUAAGUUUUACAUUGGCUUACAAAAGAGGUGGAUAAAGAAACUUAUCUUGAAUGCCACGUGAGGGUGCAUUUGGAAGCCUUGGAUUGGAAGAAUAAAAGACUUCAUUUGAAAGAGAGAAUCAAAUGAAGAAAUUUCAAAGCUUUUCAUAAUUACUAGGGUAGAAAAAAUGGCUAACUUAAGAGCUAAGUGAAAUCUUUGAGAUUUGGGGUUGAAGGGCUAUAUAAAGAGAAGAAGGAAGGGCCACGUAAAGCUAAAAGUAAGAGAGAAAGCAAGGGAAGAAAAGGAUCCAAGGGAAAAAAAAAAGCAAAGGAAGGAGAAUAGAGAGAACUGACCGGAAAAUCGCUAAAACAGAAAGGGAACCAAAAAGGUAAGCCACUUUUCUUUUCGUGGGGUCGUAGAGCACUGAAAGGGGAGUUCAUAGGUUCAAACGAAAGACGAAUCAGAGUUAAAAUGAAAGAGUUAUAGUCGUUUUAAACUUUUGGUACAGAAUCCGUAAGAAGCAGGGGUCGGCGCGUGCAUCACACAUGCUAGCCGCAACUGCGCGUGGUUGGGCUUCUUGUUCCGUAAUUUUGAGGAUUUGCUUCUUAAAUCAUUCUCUAUGAUUGUAUGUAAAAAUAUUUUGAUUUGGUGACCAGAACUGUAUGAAACUACAGCUUAAUCGGGCUAAAAUUCGUAGAAACGAUGAACCAUCAAGAACUACAGCAAGUGUAAGUGGUUUUCUACAUCAUUUGUGCUUCAUAUUGAUCAUUCCUUGAAUCAUUUGUGUUAUAUGUGGACAUACUCACUUGCUCUCUUUGUUUGGCAUGAAACUUUACUUAUUUCAUCACUUCAUGGCAUGUGGUUGUUUGUGGCAAGCUAGUGGCCGCCAUGAGUGGCUCUUGGAGUCACAUAUGCGUGUUUUGAGGUAUGUUUGGUGUGCCAGGAGCUAAGGAGGCGGGCGAAGCAAAUGGGAAAGAAUUUGUGGACGUUUAAAUACUUUUUUUGUCGUUUUAUGUAAUCCUAUUUCAGAAGUGUUGUAAUUAUUCGGAGAUUGUACUUCUUUUUCUUAUAUUAGAUUUUAACUCUAUCCUAUUGAAGGGUUUGUGCAUAUUUAGUUUGUAUGGGAACCCUACAAACAUUCUGGCAGGUUCGAUCCAUUGUUUUCGCUGCUUAGGGUUUCUUAACACCUCUUGGGCAAUUAGGUGUAAACCUACCAUGUUACUUGAGACGAGGAGGUGUUACAAGAAUUCUCUAUAAAUUGGCCAUGGGUGGAAGCUUAAGGCAUAUUAGUGGAAAUUGAGCUAAAACUAGGCUAAUUUCUAAUUUGAGGGGAUUAAGAGUGAGGAACAAGUUCUUGAAAGUGAGGGAAAGAUUAUGUGGAAAGGAACGAUUUUCGUCAAGAAACGAGAGAGAAACGGAGCUUCACCAGAAACUGGGUUGAAGCUACUGAAAAACAGUUAGGGAAGGUUGGUUUAAGCCUAUAUUCGGGCAGAGGGGAGAGAGAGAAAGGUAUAGGAACAAACGGGGAGUGGAAUGGAGCUAAAACAAGGGAGGAAAAGGUAAAAAAUUGAGGAAUAAUCAAAAUCACGUCAUUGUCUCUGAGGAAGAAGACCGGUUAUGGUGCACACAUUAGUUCAGCUAGUGUGUAAAGGCGUGUGGAUCACCUUCUUGGAACACGUGCGAGCGUGUGGUAAGUCCUAAAAACCUAUAAAAAUAUAUAAAAAAAUCAAGAAAAAUAAGAUAAAGAGGUUUAUGGAAAAAAAAGAUGGUACUUGUUUUAGAAAAACUCGUGUUUAUUGCAGAAAACCAAGACUAGUAAGUGUGAACAGUGCUUCUACUAGUAAAAUAGUGAGGUGAGUGGUUUCUCAUGUAAUUUGUAUCAUCCUGAACAUUUAUAAUUUCAUUCCAUGUGGUUUGUGGCUCGCAUGUCAUGUUCUCCUAUUAAAAAAACAUAUUACUCCCAUUUACCAUGCAUCACAACAAUAUUGCUAGUUGAUGCCAGGGUCAUCAUGCGUGAUCGAGAAAGGAUCACGCCCAUGCGGUCGGGAAAAGGAGUGUGGACAUGAUCAACGGGGAUGAUUGCAAUAUUCUGGCCUCAUUACCAUGGGUACAUAUGGACAAGCAAAGGAAAAGGCAAAGAGAUGGUUAAAGUCUAGUUUAGCUUUCUAGUAGUCAUUAUGUACAUAUAUGUCUUAAGUGUUGUUCUACAAAUGCUAUAUAGACAAAAACUACUAUAAAGCUUUGGGUCUACCAUUAUUUCUUUGACUUUUGAAGUUAUGUGUUAUAGUUGUAGUUGUACUCAAGAAAUUUAGUGGAAAUCCUAGCUAUUUAGCUUUUUAGGUUCGAAUCCUUCACUUCCACCGGUAAGGAUUUUCAUAACGCCCGUAUGUAAUAUUUAGCAACAUUGUGUAUUUAGAGACAUGGCAUUACAAUUAAGGCAUAUGUAACUUUAGCCA